AAUGAGCAGCACUUUACUCAAAUGCUUCUUCUGCCGUUAACGUUGUGUUCCAUUUAGCUUUUAUGUUGGAUGUUGGAGCUGGGAAUAACUUCACACCUGAGUCGACAACGUUCUGUUAAAAUAACUGUACAAAAUAUGUCGAAAAAAUGUCUUACCCUAUAAGUGAAACUUGCACCUGUACAUAACUAGCUAUUAUUGAGGUGUAUAUGAAGCACUGUGGAACAGGGUCAUGAAAAACCUGGAAAAGUCAAGGAACUUGAAAAUAGUCAUUUUCAGGCCUGGAUAAGUUUUGGAAGAAAAAAAAACAAAAAAAACAAAGUCAAAGUCAAAUUUACUCUUUGUGAUCUUUGUGUUUCCAUUUAUUGACUCUGUUUAUCGACUCCGUUUAUCGACUCUGUUUAUCGACUGAGAAAAGCUAUUUAAAAAAUAAUUUGAUAACUUGAUUGGAGUUUCAGAUGGAAUAUAACUGUAAAUUCACAGAGAAAAAUCUAGGUGUUUAGGCUGUAAUUAAGCUCUCGCUCUCUUCCACUCUUUGGGAAGCAUAUUGGUUAUAUAUGCAAGUAAAUUACCAGUAAUGGUGAAAAGAAGGCAACAUUUAAACAGAUGCAUUUAAAAGCUGUUAAAAAAUAAAGAAUCUACACAAUAUAGACACAACCUAAACAUAUUCCCUGACAGCCAGAUAUAUGCCAAAUUAGUUUAUUUAAAAAUUGAUUUUGUUCAAAGUUUUAAACAGAAGAUUCUAUAUCAUGUUUGAUGAAAGUGUGAAAUACUGUUUACAGGUUAAACAUUAGAAAUGUUUACCAAAUGUUUAUGGGCCUGAGCUGAUUAAUACAUCAGUGCAGAGUGAAGUAAUUUAGCCCUACAUUAUGGAGCGCUCAGAAUUUGACACAUUUUAUUAUUGAAGAUUGUGUCUUAGCAUUGCUUAAAUAAAUGUUUUUUUUUUAUUAUUUAAAUAUAUUUAAUGUAAAUAUAGGCCUACUAUAAUCAGUUUUGAUAUACAUUCUUGUCUACUCUGAUGUUUUAAACACGCUAUGGUCAUUAAAAUGUGCUGCGAAAGCAUAGAAAAGGCACAGAAAAUAAUUUAAAUUUAUAGGUUAACACUAUUUGUAAUCUACAUGUGUAUACAUAUUUUACCCUUGUUUUCUUUUUUUCCAGAGGGAAUUAUAAAAUAAGCUAAAGACUUUCAUGUUUACUACAACUUAAUUAUUAAUCAUGUACCAGUGUUUUAUAGCAAAUGUAACCAAAAAAUGUCCCACAUUAUAUGUCCCAGGUUAUAAUUUUUUGCAUUGUCAGCGAUACCAGACGCACAUUCACACACUCAAUGGAAACAUGAACAGCUAGACGUGCUAAUGAAACUUAAAAUACUACUGCUUUUACUACUGUUGAUGUUUGGUGCAGCCAUCUUGCGUUCUGAACUUGUGGGUUUAUUCCAGUUGAAAUGUUCUACUUAGAACUUGGAAAUUUCCAGUUCUGAAUUCCUACUUCAGAUGGAAUGCAGUAUAAGGAUUCACAGUAGAGCUCGACCCAACCUGCCCCAUACACUGUCAUUUUGAGCCAAAGCCCGAAUUAAACCUGACCUUUUUUGACCAACCCACUCGUUAGGACUCCCCCUAUCACUAGUAAUGCCCCAACACACCAGGAGGAUGAAGACUAGCAGACUCUUUCUCCGAUACAUGUGAAGUCAGCCACCGCUUCUUUUCGAGCUGCUGCUGAUGCAGCAUUGCCAAGCAGCCAGCACAUUUGGAGGAAAGCGCAGCGGCAGGUGAAGUGCGUAAUAUGGACAGUGUGCACUUUGCACUUGUGCAACUUUUUUUUAAAAACAGUUUGAUUUGUUUCUGCUAUAUUUUGAUUCAUAGCUUUAUAUAAAAUGAAAAUAACUUAUAACUAUAUUAUUUUCUUUAGCCCGAGGAACCUGAGGAAAGUGGUGGGAAAUCUCGAGCCAGGUCAGACCUUGGGUUGGGUUUGGGCAGAGAACCUAAGCUCUUAUUCACAUAUUGAACUUUGUGUUAUUGUGUUCUCAGUGACAUGUUGAACUACACUGCCAGUUUGAGGGAAGGUCAUUGCCAUCCACUGCAAAGGAGGCAAAGGUGUGGGAAAGGGCAAUGGCAGUGAUCUGAAGGUGCGGAUCAUAGUGAAAAGAGAGCAGGUGUUCCAGUGUGUCUGUGCCACGCAGACGAACUGUAGGCUGUUCCCAGAUACUGAAAACAAUGCCGUGGUGAUCAGCUUUCAGGAAGGGCCAGUGGUUUGUGGUGAUGUUAAGGUCAUGUUUGAAUCCAGGGCUGGUCUUCCAAAGGGGUAUGAGGACUAUCCUUUCUAUUUCUGGUUCAACACUUCAUUUGUAGAGAACAACAGGCUCUAUCUGUCAAGGGAGGAACUGGACAACCCACGUAAGUCCAAAACCUGGGACAUCUACAAGGAGGACUUUGGUGUGACCGUGUCUUUCAGUGACCCUGCACUUAUGUAGCAGACGACACUUGCUUGUGUAUCUCAACUAAAACCCUUAAGCCCUGCACAAGGUCUAAAUCUUUGCUCUAAUGUAGGUUUUCACACACUUAUAAAAGGUGAGUGAUGUUUAGGGAUUGGAUUCGGGCAUAUUGUGCCCCUAAAGCUAUAGCUAUAGCUAUAUAACCUCAACUUUAUGUCCAUCCCCCAUCUUCACUGUAAGAGCUUUUUACUGAGCCGUGCAUACAUCACAAUAUUAUGCAUUUGUUUGUCAAAUGUUUUUUUGUCUUUAAAUGAAGACAAAUGUUUGUGUCAGUUUAGCAUAUUAUGCUUCCAAAAUGUAAAUCUUACUCUUUAAGCUUGAGUGUACAUCAAAUAAAGCAAUCGAGGCUGCCACUGUGAAAUGGUCAAUGGUUAUGUGUGCAGAAACAUUUUUUGUAGUACACAUGUAUUGAAAUAAAUACUAAUGUCUCUGUAA